rnacentral:rRNA from 1 species
UACAGAGGGGGCAAGCGUUGUUCGGAAUCACUGGGCGUAAAGCGCACGUAGGCGGGUUUGUCAGUCAGGGGUGAAAUCCCGGAGCUCAACUCCGGAACUGCCCUUGAUACAGCAAGCCUUGAGUCCGGAAGAGGUAGGUGGAAUUCCUAGUGUAGAGGUGAAAUUCGUAGAUAUUAGGAAGAACACCAGUGGCGAAGGCGGCCUACUGGUCCGGCACUGACGCUGAGGUGCGAAAGCGUGGGGAGCAAACAGG